rnacentral:rRNA from 1 species
CCUACGGGAGGCUGCAGUGGGGAAUAUUGCACAAUGGGGGAAACCCUGAUGCAGCAACGCCGCGUGGGUGAAGAAGUAUCUCGGUAUGUACAGCUCUAUCAGCAGGGAAGAAAAUGACGGUACCUGACUAAGAAGCCCCGGCUAACUACGUGCCAGCAGCCGCGGUAAUACGUAGGGGGCAAGCGUUAUCCGGAUUUACUGGGUGUAAAGGGAGCGUAGACGGCAGCACAAGUCUGGAGUGAAAUCCCGAGGCCUAACCCCGGAACUGCUUUGGAAACUGGGCGGAUGGAGUGCAGGAGGGGGAAGCGGAAUUCCUAGGGUAGCGGUGAAAUGCGUAGAUAUUAGGAGGAACACCGGUGGCGAAGGCGGCUUACUGGACUGGAACUGACGUUGAGGCUCGAAAGCGUGGGGAGCAAACAGGAUUAGAUACCCGGGUAGUC